AACAAUAUAAGGAGAAUUUCAAUGUUUCGAGCGAAAGCCGUUCAUCUGGAGUUGCUGGAGUCAGUAACUCCAGACAAAGGGCUUUCGCUCGAAAAAUUGAAAUUCUCCUUAUAUUUUUCAGGUAGU